rnacentral:rRNA from 1 species
AGAGUUUGAUCCUGGCUCAGAGUGAACGCUGGCGGUAGGCCUAACACAUGCAAGUCGAACGGCAGCACAGAGGAGCUUGCUCCUUGGGUGGCGAGUGGCGGACGGGUGAGGAAUACAUCGGAAUCUACUCUGUCGUGGGGGAUAACGUAGGGAAACUUACGCUAAUACCGCAUACGACCUACGGGUGAAAGCAGGGGAUCUUCGGACCUUGCGCGAAUGAAUGAGCCGAUGUCGGAUUAGCUAGUUGGCGGGGUAAAGGCCCACCAAGGCGACGAUCCGUAGCUGGUCUGAGAGGAUGAUCAGCCACACUGGAACUGAGACACGGUCCAGACUCCUACGGGAGGCAGCAGUGGGGAAUAUUGGACAAUGGGCGCAAGCCUGAUCCAGCCAUACCGCGUGGGUGAAGAAGGCCUUCGGGUUGUAAGGCCCUUUUGUUGGGAAAGAAAUCCAGCUGGCUAAUACCCGGUUGGGAUGACGGUACCCAAAGAAUAAGCACCGGCUAACUUCGUGCCAGCAGCCGCGGUAAUACGAAGGGUGCAAGCGUUACUCGGAAUUACUGGGCGUAAAGCGUGCGUAGGUGGUCGUUUAAGUCCGUUGUGAAAGCCCUGGGCUCAACCCGGGAACUGCAGUGGAUACUGGGCGACUAGAGUGUGGUAGAGGGUAGCGGAAUUCCUGGUGUAGCAGUGAAAUGCGUAGAGAUCAGGAGGAACAUCCAUGGCGAAGGCAGCUACCUGGACCAACACUGACACUGAGGCACGAAAGCGUGGGGAGCAAACNGGAUUAGAUACCCUGGUAGUCCACGCCCUAAACGAUGCGAACUGGAUGUUGGGUGCAAUUUGGCACGCAGUAUCGAAGCUAACGCGUUAAGUUCGCCGCCUGGGG